GAUGAACGCUGGCGGCGUGCCUAAUACAUGCAAGUCGAGCGAACAGACGAGGAGCUUGCUCCUCUGACGUUAGCGGCGGACGGGUGAGUAACACGUGGAUAACCUACCUAUAAGACUGGGAUAACUUCGGGAAACCGGAGCUAAUACUGGAUAAUAUAUUGAACCGCAUGGUUCAAUAGUGAAAGACGGUUUUGCUGUCACUUAUAGAUGGAUCCGCGCCGCAUUAGCUAGUUGGUAAGGUAACGGCUUACCAAGGCAACGAUGCGUAGCCGACCUGAGAGGAUGAUCAGCCACACUGGAGCUGAGACACGGUCCAGACUCCUACGGGAGGCAGCAGUAGGGAAUCUUCCGCAAUGGGCGAAAGCCUGACGGAGCAACGCCGCGUGAGUGAUGAAGGUCUUCGGAUCGUAAAACUCUGUUAUUAGGAAAGAACAAAUGUGUAAGUAACUAUGCACGUCUUGACGGUACCUAAACAGAAAGCCACGGCUAACUACGUG
rnacentral:rRNA from 1 species